CCCGCGACGCUCCUGGCCGUGCCCUCCCUGCCCUUUGUUGUGUAAUGAGACCUGUGGCGGCUCCACUGAGACCCACACGUGCAAUUCCGCGCCUCCGCGUUAAAGGAGGUGAAACGCAGCAGCCCUGAGAAACCCCAAGACCCCGGUGUCCUAGCAGAGGCGCCCCGGAUGGGGAGGGGCGCGGGGGCCGGCGCUACCCCAGAGGAAAAGCCCAGCGGAGCCGGGUUGGGCAGGAGCCGGCGGCGGCGGUGCGCUGGGCCUUCUGCCUUGGAUCCUCCGCAGUCGGCACCGCUUCCCUGCUCGGAUUCGAACCCAGAUGCGGCUCCCAAGGCUCCCACGGCUCCAGGGUGCCCAGUCUUGCAGCCAGCUCGCCGCCUGAGCCCCGGAUGGAGGAAGCGCUCACUGGGGGCUACCUCUGCUGUUUCUGGCACCAGAGAUUGAGACUGUGAACCUGAAUUCCCUUGAUCUCCUCCCGUUGGGCCCAGGAGGGAGCCGAAUCUAGGCCCAACCGGGCUCACUGAGAAGGUGCAGGAAGCCCCCAAUGACUCCUACUCGUGUGCGGCCCAUACUGGGCCGGAACGCUGCAGUGGCCGAGCCGCUGGGUGUCUGCAACGGGGAGCGCCCCCGCCGCUGGGGGCAAUAAACGGAAUCGGUUUCACACGCUU
rnacentral:antisense_RNA from 1 species